CUGGAUUCGCUAGUAAUCGCGCAUCAGCCACGGCGCGGUGAAUACGUUCCCGGGCCUUGUACACACCGCCCGUCAAGCCAUGGAAGCCGGGAGUGCCUGAAGUGUGCAACCGCAAGGAGCGCCCUAAGGUAAAACCGGUGACUGGGGCUAAGUCGUAACAAGGUAAC
rnacentral:rRNA from 1 species